rnacentral:rRNA from 1 species
UACGUAGGGUCCGAGCGUUGUCCGGAGUUACUGGGCGUAAAGCGCGCGCAGGCGGCGGUGCUGGCCCGGCGUGAAAGCCCCCGGCUCAACCGGGGAGAGUCGUCGGGGACCGCACCGCUUGAGGGCGGUAGGGGCUGGUGGAAUGCCUGGUGUAGUGGUGAAAUGCGUAGAGAUCAGGCAGAACACCUGGGGCGAAGGCGGCCAGCUGGGCCGUCCCUGACGCUGAGGCGCGAAGGCGUGGGGAGCGAACAGG